rnacentral:rRNA from 1 species
UUGAACGCUGGCGGCAGGCCUAACACAUGCAAGUCGAACGGUAACAGGAAGCAGCUUGCUGCUUCGCUGACGAGUGGCGGACGGGUGAGUAAUGUCUGGGAAACUGCCUGAUGGAGGGGGAUAACUACUGGAAACGGUAGCUAAUACCGCAUAACGUCGCAAGACCAAAGAGGGGGACCUUCGGGCCUCUUGCCAUCGGAUGUGCCCAGAUGGGAUUAGCUAGUAGGUGGGGUAACGGCUCACCUAGGCGACGAUCCCUAGCUGGUCUGAGAGGAUGACCAGCCACACUGGAACUGAGACACGGUCCAGACUCCUACGGGAGGCAGCAGUGGGGAAUAUUGCACAAUGGGCGCAAGCCUGAUGCAGCCAUGCCGCGUGUAUGAAGAAGGCCUUCGGGUUGUAAAGUACUUUCAGCGGGGAGGAAGGGAGUAAAGUUAAUACCUUUACUCAUUGACGUUACCCGCAGAAGAAGCACCGGCUAACUCCGUGCCAGCAGCCGCGGUAAUACGGAGGGUGCAAGCGUUAAUCGGAAUUACUGGGCGUAAAGCGCACGCAGGCGGUUUGUUAAGUCAGAUGUGAAAUCCCCGGGCUCAACCUGGGAACUGCAUCUGAUACUGGCAAGCUUGAGUCUCGUAGAGGGGGGUAGAAUUCCAGGUGUAGCGGUGAAAUGCGUAGAGAUCUGGAGGAAUACCGGUGGCGAAGGCGGCCCCCUGGACGAAGACUGACGCUCAGGUGCGAAAGCGUGGGGAGCAAACAGGAUUAGAUACCCUGGUAGUCCACGCCGUAAACGAUGUCGACUUGGAGGUUGUGCCCUUGAGGCGUGGCUUCCGGAGCUAACGCGUUAAGUCGACCGCCUGGGGAGUACGGCCGCAAGGUUAAAACUCAAAUGAAUUGACGGGGGCCCGCACAAGCGGUGGAGCAUGUGGUUUAAUUCGAUGCAACGCGAAGAACCUUACCUGGUCUUGACAUCCACGGAAGUUUUCAGAGAUGAGAAUGUGCCUUCGGGAACCGUGAGACAGGUGCUGCAUGGCUGUCGUCAGCUCGUGUUGUGAAAUGUUGGGUUAAGUCCCGCAACGAGCGCAACCCUUAUUGCCAGUUACUACGAAAGAGGACUCUGGCGAGACUGCCGUUGACAAAACGGAGGAAGGUGGGGAUGACGUCAAAUCAUCAUGCCCCUUACGAGCAGGGCUACACACGUGCUACAAUGGCGUAAACAAAGGGAAGCGACCCCGUGAGGGUAAGCAAAUCUCAAAAAUAACGUCUCAGUUCGGAUUGUAGUCUGCAACUCGACUCCAUGAAGUCGGAAUCGCUAGUAAUCGUGGAUCAGAAUGCCACGGUGAAUACGUUCCCGGGCCUUGUACACACCGCCCGUCACACCAUGGGAGUGGGUUGCAAAAGAAGUAGGUAGCUUAACCUUCGGGAGGGCGCUUACCACUUUGUGAUUCAUGACUGGGGUG